rnacentral:rRNA from 1 species
UACAGAGGGUGCGAGCGUUGCUCGGAAUCACUGGGCGUAAAGCGCACGUAGGCGGACUCUUAAGUCGGUGGUGAAAUCCUGGAGCUCAACUCCAGAACUGCCUUCGAUACUGGGAGUCUCGAGUCCGGGAGAGGUGAGUGGAACUGCGAGUGUAGAGGUGAAAUUCGUAGAUAUUCGCAAGAACACCAGUGGCGAAGGCGGCUCACUGGCCCGGUACUGACGCUGAGGUGCGAAAGCGUGGGGAGCAAACAGG